rnacentral:rRNA from 1 species
GUACCAGACUCCUACGGGAGGCAGCAGUGGGGAAUAUUGCACAAUGGGGGAAACCCUGAUGCAGCGACGCCGCGUGAGUGAAGAAGUAAUUCGUUAUGUAAAGCUCUAUCAGCAGGGAAGAAAAUGACGGUACCUGACUAAGAAGCCCCGGCUAACUACGUGCCAGCAGCCGCGGUAAUACGUAGGGGGCAAGCGUUAUCCGGAUUCACUGGGUGUAAAGGGAGCGUAGACGGCGACGCAAGUCUGGAGUGAAAGCCCGGGGCCCAACCCCGGGACUGCUCUGGAAACUGCGGCGCUGGAGUACGGGAGGGGCAGGCGGAAUUCCUGGUGUAGCGGUGAAAUGCGUAGAUAUCAGGAGGAACACCGGCGGCGAAGGCGGCCUGCUGGACCGUGACUGACGUUGAGGCUCGAGAGCGUGGGGAGCAAACAGGAUUAGAUACCCGAGUA